rnacentral:tRNA from 1 species
AACCACCCAUAGGUGUUUUGAAAACACUAAUUAGACUUGUCUGGUGGUUU